rnacentral:lncRNA from 1 species
AUUGGUCAAUAUGUUGGUAACUAAAGAGACCUUGAAAAGUUUAGAGGUAUAUACCUGAAAAGCCUAAAGAGACAUAGACACACCUUUGGAAGAUAUAUCGAGUUGCUCAAAGUUGAUCUUACGAUUUUUUCUUCUUUCAGUUGAGUAUUAGACUCUAGUGCAUAUCACAUGCUUCAAUAUAGGGUCCAAGGGAAGGAAGAGGGCUGAGCGAAGAUGAAGUGAUUUUUUUUAAGUCGAC